rnacentral:rRNA from 1 species
GACGUAGGGGCGAACGUUGCCCGGAAUCACUGGGCGUAAAGGGGCGUAGGCGGUCUCAAAGUCAGGUGUGAAAUGUCACUGCUCAACGGUGUCAGUGCGCAUGAAACUGUGAGACUUGAGGGGACCAGAGGUAGACGGAAUUACCUGAGUAGGGGUGAAAUCCGUAGAUACAGGUAAGAACGCCAGUGGGGAAGCCGGUCUACUGGGGUGACCCUGACGCUGAGGCCCGAAAGCUAGGGGAGCGAACCGG